CCAAAUCCCUAGGUCCCUGUAUGCCCAUCGCAGUGGUGACCAAUUCGGAUUGUAACUCCAGUAUUGGUUUGGUUAGUUGGACCGCCAGCAAUAUAAAUCAGACAUACAUUGCUGUGGCAACAGGACUUGAUGGCCACAACCACGAGUGUGUCACAAAUACCAGCUCCUGCACCUGGGACGACCUACACUGUGGUGAGAAGUACACUGUCCAUGUGAUGGCGAGGAAUGGAAACCUCACCGGUCUGCCAAGCAAUGGCUCGCCCAUUCAUACAGGUAUGUGAACUGUCCACAAACCUUUUCCUAAAUCCACCAAUUAAUCCAUCUUUCAGUUUCAUGCAUGUUUUCCAGAAAUGAUAAUAAGAUUGUUAAAAUCCUGUUCAUAUCCUUCUCCAAAUCCAUAGGUCCCUGUAUGCCCCAGGCAGUGGUGACCAAUUCAGAAUGUAACUCCAGUAUUGCCUCAGUUAGUUGGACUGCCAACAAUCUAAAUCAGACAUACAUUGCUGUGGCAACAGGACUUGAUGGCCACAACCACGAGUGUGUCACAAAUACCAGCUCCUGCACCUGGGACGACCUACACUGUGGUGAGAAGUACACUGUCCAUGUGAUGGCGAGGAAUGGAAACUGCACCGGUCUGCCAAGCAAUGGCUCGCCCAUUCAUACAGGUAUGUGAACUGUCCACCAAUUUUUUUCCUCAAUCCACCAAUUAAUCUGUCUUUCAGUUUCAUGCAAGUUUUCCAGAAAUCAUAAUAAGAUUGUUAAAAUCCUGUUCACAUCCUUCUCCAAAUCCCUAGGUCCCUGUAUGCCCAUGGCAGUGGUGACCAAUUCGGAUUGUAACUCCAGUAUUGGUUUGGUUAGUUGGACCGCCAGCAAUAUAAAUCAGACAUACCUUGCUGUGGCAACAGGACUUGAUGGCCACAACCACGAGUGUGUCACAAAUACCAGCUCCUGCACCUGGGACGACCUACACUGUGGUGAGGAGUACACUGUCCAAGUGAUGGCGAGAAAUGGAAACUGCACUAGUCUGCCAAGCAAUGGCCCUAUCAUUCAUAUGGGUCCUUGUAUGCUCCAAGCAGUGGUGACCAAUUCGGAAUGUAACUCCAGUAUUGGCUCAGUUAGUUGGACUGCCAGCAGCAUGAAUGAGACAUACAUCGCUGUGGCAACAGGACUUGAUGGCCACACACACGAGUGUUUCACAAAUACCAGCUCCUGCACCUGGGACGACCUACACUGUGGUGAGAAGUACACUGUCCAUGUGAUGGCGAGGAAUGGAAACCUCACCGGUCUGCCAAGCAACGGCUCGCCUAUUCAUACAGGUAUGUGAACUGUCCACAAACCUUUUCCUAAAUCCACCAAUUAAUCCAUCUUUCAGUUUCAUGCAUGUUUUCCUGAAAUUAUAAUAAGAUUGUUAAAAUCCUGUUCAUAUCCUUCUCCAAAUCCAUAGGUCCCUGUAUGCCCCAGGCAGUGGUGACCAAUUCAGAAUGUAACUCCAGUAUUGCCUCAGUUAGUUGGACUGCCAACAAUCUAAAUCAGACAUACAUUGCUGUGGCAACAGGACUUGAUGGCCACAACCACGAGUGUGUCACAAAUACCAGCUCCUGCACCUGGGACGACCUACACUGUGGUGAGAAGUACACUGUCCAUGUGAUGGCGAGGAAUGGAAACUGCACCAGUCUGCCAAGCAAUGGCUCGCCCAUUCAUACAGGUAUGUGAACUGUCCACCAAUUUUUUUCCUUAAUCCACCAAUUAAUCCGUUUUUCAGUUUCAUGCAAGUUUUCCAGAAAUCAUAAUAAGAUUGUUAAAAUCCUGUUCACAUCCUUCUCCAAAUCCCUAGGUCCCUGUAUGCCCAUGGCAGUGGUGACCAAUUCGGAUUGUAACUCCAGUAUUGGUUUGGUUAGUUGGACCGCCAGCAAUAUAAAUCAGACAUACCUUGCUGUGGCAACAGGACUUGAUGGCCACAACCACGAGUGUGUCACAAAUACCAGCUCCUGCACCUGGGACGACCUACACUGUGGUGAGGAGUACACUGUCCAAGUGAUGGCGAGAAAUGGAAACUGCACUAGUCUGCCAAGCAAUGGCCCUAUCAUUCAUAUGGGUAUGAGACCUUUCCACUGUUGAUGGACUUGAUCCACCAUUUCAAGUGUCUUUAACAGUUAUACUUGGUUUCCAGAGAUCUCAAUACAAUUGGUGAUUUACUGUUCACAUCCACCAUCGAAUCCCUAGGUCCCUGUAUGCUCCAAGCAGUGGUGACCAAUUCGGAAUGUAACUCCAGUAUUGGCUCAGUUAGUUGGACUGCCUGCAGCAUGAAUGAGACAUACAUCGCUGUGGCAACAGGACUUGAUGGCCACACACACGAGUGUUUCACAAAUACCAGCUCCUGCACCUGGGACGACCUACACUGUGGUGAGAAGUACACUGUCCAUGUGAUGGCGAGGAAUGGAAACUGCACCGGUCUGCCAAGCAAUGGCUCGCCCAUUCAUACAGGUAUGUGAACUGUCCACCAAUUUCUACCUUAAUCCACCAAUUAAUCCGUCUUUCAGUUUCAUGCAAGUUUUCCAGAAAUCAUAAUGAGAUUAUUAAAAUCCUGUUCACAUCCUUCUACAAAUCCCUAGGUCCCUGUAUGCCCAUGGCAGUGGUGACCAAUUCGGAUUGUAACUCCAGUAUUGGUUUGGUUAGUUGGACCGCCAGCAAUAUAAAUCAGACAUACCUUGCUGUGGCAACAGGACUUGAUGGCCACAACCACGAGUGUGUCACAAAUACCAGCUCCUGCACCUGGGACGACCUACACUGUGGUGAGGAGUACACUGUCCAAGUGAUGGCGAGGAAUGGAAACUGCACUAGUCUGCCAAGCAAUGGCCCUAUCAUUCAUAUGGGUAUGAGACCUUUCCACUGUUGAUGGACUUGAUCCACCAUUUCAAGUGUCUUCAACAGUUGUACUUGGUUUCCAGAGAUCUCAAUACAAUUGGUGAUCUACUGUUUACAUCCACCAUCGAAUCCCUAGGUCCCUGUAUGCUCCAAGCAGUGGUGACCAAUUCGGAAUGUAACUCCAGUAUUGGCUCAGUUAGUUGGACUGCCAGCAGCAUGAAUGAGACAUACAUCGCUGUGGCAACAGGACUUGAUGGCCACACACACGAGUGUUUCACAAAUACCAGCUCCUGCACCUGGGACGACCUACACUGUGGUGAGAAGUACACUGUCCAUGUGAUGGCGAGGAAUGGAAACCUCACCGGUCUGCCAAGCAAAGGCUCGCCCAUUCAUACAGGUAUGUGAACUGUCCACAAACCUUUUCCUAAAUCC
ensembl:lncRNA